GUGUGUGUGUGGGGGGCUUUGGGUGCAGGUGGUUUAACUUAUUUAAGAGUGGCGCAAGAGUUACAAUAAUGUGGGAGUAGGUAAAAAGUGGUGGAGAGAAAGAGACAAUGGAAGAAGCAUUGAUUCUCGAUAUUAUGGACUUCAAAGUCAAUAAUAGGUUACCUGAUGCCGGCCUAACAAAACAAUAGAGAUGCACGAUAUAAAGAAGAUAACACUUUGCUCAAGGAUGGAGAGCUUCAUUACGUUUGUAGAAGACGGAAGGAGAGCGAGCGUUUGGAUAAGGUAGUCACCUCAGCUGCCAAGGCCAACAUAAUAUUCGAAGAAAUGCUCUGCAGUUCUAUCUGUGGUCACUACGAUGUGGAGAAAAACGCACAAUGCGGUGAUCAUCCGAAACGACUGGCCUGGCAUGGAGGCGGACAUCCGCAAAUGGACUACAGAAAGGGAAGUCUGGGGCCCGCUGCUUGAGCUGCUCCCCCCGUGACCCAACCCUGGAUAUAUAUAUGAAGAUGAGAUGAGGAGAGAUGACAAUUGACUUCAGGUGGCCCAGUGUCCUGAGUGCCAAAGAAAUCAGGCCAGUCUCAAAGAAAGUACCCACUACUGUACCACCAGAGGUAACAACCAUUUGAGCUGGUGGGGAGGAACCUCAUGAGGCACAGUUUAACAGAGUGGUAAUCAUUACAUUUGUGUGAUGGUUGAUUUUUCACCAAGUGGGCAGCGGCUACCCUCUGAAGAGUAACUCUGCAGAGGAGGAAGGCAAAUACCCAUCUUAUGUGCCACAGAACCUAAGGUGACACUGAGAAGGUGGAGCGUUUGCUGAUGAGGGAGGCGGUUUUUAAAGGACUCUCAAAGCAGACAAACGUACAUAAAACUAAAAUACAGUCCUACAAGCGUCCAAAAGAAGCAGGAGAAAAUCCGUAAACUGAAGCUGGAGAUCGUGUGCUCAAAAAAGGUGGAGGAACGCAGUAAAAAGGGGUCUCGCUGGGGCCUUUCAAAAUAAUCGCACUUUGCCAUGCUGGCGGGGGCAAAGUAUCGACCUCCUCACCCCCUUCAUUGAGCCAGAGGAGCGUCAAGAGAUAAUACCAGGGGAGAGUCAGCCCACCCAAAGUAAUGGUACAUUACAUUCAGUUAUGUGACAUUAAGGAUAAUAAUGCCAUCCAGUCUUUUAAAUGACUUGUGUUCUGAUUUUCCAGUUUUCCAACAAAUAUGGACUAGGGAAAAGGGUUGAGAUUCUGUGGUCCAAAAAUCAGGCCAUGUAUCA
ensembl:lncRNA